rnacentral:rRNA from 1 species
AGCUUGAAGAGAAAUUAUUUUAGGUAAAACCUGCUCGGUGAAAAAUUUUAACAGCUGCGGUACUCUGACCGUACUAAGGUAGCAUAAUCAAUUGGCUUUUAAUUGGGGUCUGGAAUGAACGGGAUAAUAGGAUAUAACUGUUUUAUUUUUUGUAAAUUGAAUUUACUAUUUAAGUGAAAAAGCUUAGAUAAUGAAAAAAGACGAGAAGACCCUUGGAAUUUAAUUUUUGUUGGGGCAACAAAGGAAUUAAAUAAUAUCCUUAUGAAAAGUAAAGUAUGACGAUAGUUUAUAAGACUGAAAAAAUUACCCAAGGGAUAACAGCAUAAUUUUUAUUAAAAGUUUGUGACCUCGAUGUUGGACUAGGUAAUAAAUUGGUUAGUCACUAUUUUAUUUAGCUCUGUUCGAGCUUUUAACCU